rnacentral:rRNA from 1 species
AGCCGCGCGGGAAUACGUAGGGUGCAAGCGUUAAUCGGAAUUACUGGGCGUAAAGCGUGCGCAGGCGGUUAUAUAAGACAGAUGUGAAAUCCCCGGGCUCAACCUGGGAACUGCAUUUGUGACUGUAUAGCUAGAGUACGGCAGAGGGGGAUGGAAUUCCGCGUGUAGCAGUGAAAUGCGUAGAUAUGCGGAGGAACACCGAUGGCGAAGGCAAUCCCCUGGGCCUGUACUGACGCUCAUGCACGAAAGCGUGGGGAGCAAACAGGAUUAGAUACCCCAGUAGUCCCUGUCUUUAUACACA